rnacentral:misc_RNA from 1 species
GGCCAAAGUAAUUCUUCUUCUUCCCAUUAUAGCUUCCCAUCUCGCAAUCUUCACCCUCUUCUCUGCCUUUACUACAACUAUAGUGGCCGGAGCAGAUAGCGAUUUUGGAACAACUAAAACCCAGAACCUAUAUCGGCUGAAAAAGGAAAAGCUUACCCAUUUUCGCUUCUACUGGCAUGACAUAUACAGCGGCCCUAACCCCACCGUCGUCCCCAUCGUGAAUUCAACCAUUAAAAACUCCGUCUCUGGUUUCGGUUUCAUAAGCAUGAUGGACGACCCAUUGACCCUGGAGCCACAACAGAGCUCCAAACUUGUGGGAAGAGCUCAAGGUCUUUAUGGAGCAGCUUCGCAGGAAGAGGUUGGGCUCUUGAUGGUGAUGAAUUUUGUGUUCCUUGAAGGGAAAUAUAAUGGUAGCACCAUAACUAUACUGGGAAGGAACAAGGCUCUCGAGAAGGUGAGAGAGAUGCCGGUGAUCAGCGGCACUGGGCUGUUCCGGUUUGCCAGAGGGUAUGUUGAGGCUUCUACUCAUAGUUACAAUCAAACAUCUGGAGAUGCUGUUGUUGAGUAUAAUGCUUAUGUGUUGCAUUACUAGCUAGUUGAUGCAUUUUAAUUAAUUUUUUUCUGUUUUAUUUUCAUGUAAUAAUUUCAUUCAUAAUUAAUGGAUGGAGAUUUGGAUCCCAACCCUCAAUUUUUAAGAAAAUGUUUACUGGAUCUGUUCUGUUGUUAACUCUAAACAUAAUAUGUAUG